rnacentral:lncRNA from 10 species
AUAUUACCCACUGUACUCCCCGCUUAGAGCUGUGUCAAGGUUCUGAGAAUCUAUCCCUUGGCUUGGAAGGGGUCAUCUCUCUGGCCAGAUCAUUUCCUGAUAGGUCCUGAGGCACCACAACACAUAGGAGGCUUGUCCUCUCUCUGGGGUUCACUGCCUUGCUCCUUCUCCAGGUCAAUAUGUGACCUUGGACCGGUUGCUUGAGUCCCCUGGUCAUUCAGAAACAAUUGGGUUUCCCUGGCUUUGGAGCCUGGCAGCCUGGCUUUGAGAACCGGGCUUUAACUUGUCACAUGACUAUGGCCAAGUUCCUGGGGCUCUCCAAGCUUCACUUCCUCUGUAAAAAGGGCAAUAAUAUAAUACCUGUCUUAUUGGGUUUUGUCCAUGUUAGAUGAGACAUUGGGUACAAAGCACUUGGUCCCGUGCCUGGCACAUUUACUGCACUUAAUGUAUGAUAGUUUUCUUAUUAUUCUAAUAAACAAUAUGGCUUUGGGAGUAUAGUUCUGCCACAUUGCAGUGGCCAGAGUGAAGGUGGUGAGUGCCUUCUGGGGCCCUGGGAGUCAAGGUUAUCCGCAUGCCCUUUCUUGCUUGCUCCUCAGUGUGGCUGCCUCUAUGUCCACACCAUGCAGAUGCAACAGGUAGUUUGAACCUCUGAGGCCCACAGUGGGAUGGGGAGGCAGGGACAUCACUUAUGGGGUGGGAAGUCACCCAUUCCCCAGGAAAUGGCCCCAGCUGCCUUUUCCAUGACUCCUCUUGAAACCCUGUGGAGGCCACAUUCGUGUUGGGGCGGUCUUUCCCAUGAGGAUAUGUUCAGAUGCCGAGGCAUUUUGAAAAGCCCUCCAUAGAGUUUCCUUUCAUAACACAUGAUCAUCCCCUUGGGCUUCUGGUUUUUUUUCUUUCAGGACCUUAUUUUCAGGCAAGUGGCCUUUGACCUCUAAGGCUGUCCUUUCCUAGCUACCGAAUCCAGCAUUCAAAGUGAUGGAAAUAUGUAUAUAUAGUAAUAGUAAAAUAUCAGCACUUAAUGGCCUGAUAAGAAUGUCACUGCAAUGCUGAGUUUGGACCAACAUUUGCCUGCUCCUGCCAUUGAGCCCGGGCUCCCCUCCAGAGCUGAGCUGCUGCAAGGGAUCUGAGUAACUAGGGCUGUGUCAGAGUGGCGAUGACAGCCACCACAUGCUAAGGAAGAGAUCCCCAAGGACAAGGAGAAUCCCACGUGGAGCUACUUGCUUCUUUGUCAGUCUUGUUUUUCUUAUUUCACAACCUUCUAAAACACAAUCUCUCAACCUCUAUUGUUAGCUUGCAUUUUUCAAUCAUGAGCACAGCUUUACCUGGCUCCAUGCUUUGAUUGACUCUACCUGCCAACACUGCAACAACAGGGAAAGGGACACCGGCCUCAUACCAUUAGAUGGUGUGUAGCCUGGGCAUGAGGAUAAUUAAAAACUCCCAAGGGGAUUUUAACAUGUAACACAGUUUGGAAACCAUUGAUGUAAGAUCUUCUUACUCAACAUGUGCUCCAAGGAGCUGUUGUAUCAGCUUAUCAGAAAUGUAGAUCAGGCCGCACUUGGACCUGUAGAAUCAGAAUCUGCAUUUUAUCAGAUUCCGACAUUAUUUGUAUGAACAUUAGCUUUUGAGAAGUGUUGCUUUAAGAGACUAAGGGGGUCAAUCUACCUCACUUUGCAGCUCUGUGUUCCUUAGUCAUUGGCUAAAAUAUCAGCCCCCCUGCAAUGAGCCAUCCUCCCUUGUAUAGUCAGUGAUGGCCUGUGAACCUUUAGCCAACUGGAAGUGGGAGGGGACACAGUCCACAAAACACUAUCCUGACUUUUGACACCAACUACAAGUCAAGGGGUUCCCCAAACCACCCUGAGUUGUGAUAAUUCGCUGGGAGAUCUGACAGAACUCACUGAAGGUUGUUAUACUCAUGGUUGUGAUCUCUUAUAGGGAGGGAAUACAGAUUAAAAUCAGCCAAAGGAAGAAGCACACAGCACAGAGUCCAGGACAGUGCCUGACAUGGAGCCCCUACGGUCCUCUCCCGUGGAGUCACG